rnacentral:rRNA from 1 species
GUGGGGAAUAUUGGACAAUGGGGGGAACCCUGAUCCAGCCAUGCCGCGUGUGUGAAGAAGGCCUUUUGGUUGUAAAGCACUUUAAGCGAGGAGGAGGCUACCGAGAUUAAUACUCUUGGAUAGUGGACGUUACUCGCAGAAUAAGCACCGGCUAACUCUGUGCCAGCAGCCGCGGUAAUACAGAGGGUGCAAGCGUUAAUCGGAUUUACUGGGCGUAAAGCGCGCGUAGGUGGCCAAUUAAGUCAAAUGUGAAAUCCCCGAGCUUAACUGGGGAAUUGCAUUCGAUACUGGUUGGCUAGAGUAUGGGAGAGGAUGGUAGAAUUCCAGGUGUAGCGGUGAAAUGCGUAGAGAUCUGGAGGAAUACCGAUGGCGAAGGCAGCCAUCUGGCCUAAUACUGACACUGAGGUGCGAAAGCAUGGGGAGCAAACAGGAUUAGAUACCCCGGUAGUCC